CCUACGGGAGGCAGCAGUGAGGAAUAUUGGUCAAUGGGCGCGAGCCUGAACCAGCCAAGUCGCGUGAGGGAGGACGGCCCUACGGGUUGUAAACCUCUUUUGCCGGGGAGCAACGGGCGUCACGUGUGGCGCCACUGCGAGUACCCGGAGAAAAAGCAUCGGCUAACUCCGUGCCAGCAGCCGCGGUAAUACGGAGGAUGCGAGCGUUAUCCGGAUUUAUUGGGUUUAAAGGGUGCGUCGGCGGAUCGUUAAGUCAGGGGUAAAAUUGAGGGGCUAAACCCGUUCCCGCCAUUGAAACUGGCGCUCUUGAGUGGAAGAGAAGUAUGCGGAAUGCGUGGUGUAGCGGUGAAAUGCAUAGAUAUCACGCAGAACCCCGAUUGCGAAGGCAGCAUGCCGGCUUCCGACUGACGCUGAAGCACGAAAGCGUGGGGAUCGAACAGGAUUAGAUACCCCAGUAGUC
rnacentral:rRNA from 1 species